rnacentral:rRNA from 1 species
GAUGAACGCUGGCGGCGUGCCUAAUACAUGCAAGUCGAGCGAAGCGGGGACGGGUGAGUAACACGUGGAUAACCUCCUAUAAGACUGGGAUAACUUCGGGAAACCGGAGCUAAACCGGAUACUUAUAGAUGGAUCCGCGCUGCAUUAGCUAGUUGGUAAGGUAACGGCUUACCAAGGCAACGAUGCAUAGCCGACCUGAGAGGGGGAUCGGGCCAACUUGAACUGAGGCCCGGGUCCAAAUCCCACCGGAGGCAACAGGAGGGAAACUUCCGGAAUGGGCGAAAGGCCGACCGAGCCAAGGCGGGUGAGGGAAGAAGGGUUUCGGGACGUAAAACUCUGUUAUUAGGGAAACGGUACCUAAUCAGAAAGCCACGGCUAACUACGUGCCAGCAGCCGCGGUAAUUC